AUUUUUUCUGAAUCCUUUGUUUCAGGGUCUAAGAGAAAGGUUUUCACAUUGCAACUCAAACAUGGAUGCAAUCCAGGAAAUGGGUCAGAUACUGGACAGACUGAUUCUUGGUUUGAGUUGAAGGUUACUGAAAGUUAUCUAAUCUAGAUAGUUCAGAUAACUCAUUUUAGCCAUCCAAGGGAUCUCCUAGCCAUAGUUGGCUUCUUAAUACACAUGUCUCGUUUUUUAGCCAUAGUUCACAUGGUAUGUUCAUUUCAUAGUAAUCUUUAGGUUUUUUUAGAGAUCCUUUUUGGGAUACCCAAAAUACUUUUCAAUUGUAAGUUGAAAGCUCAAAAUUUUCAAUGAAGGAAAAAAUACACUUUGCAUCAGUCUGCUAUUUGACAAAGUUGAAUAUUUGUUUUAAAAAAGAAUUUAGUGACAAACAUCUUUGUUAUUGGUAUGAAUAAUAACAAAACACUUUUCAAUUUUAAUUAUAUCUUCCAAAAGUUUAAUGAAAAGUAAUAUAUAUUAUGUUUCUUUUAAUUUUCAAUUAAAUUAUAUGCACAGGAUAUUUUUUCUGAAUCCUUUGUUUCAGGGUCUAAGAGAAAGGUUUUCACAUUGCAACUCAAACAUGGAUGCAAUCCAGGAAAUGGGUCAGAUACUGGACAGACUGAUUCUUGGUUUGAGUUGAAGGUUACUGAAAGUUAUCUAAUCUAGAUAGUUCAGAUAACUCAUUUUAGCCAUCCAAGGGAUCUCCUAGCCAUAGUUGGCUUCUUAAUACACAUGUCUCGUUUUUUAGCCAUAGUUCACAUGGUAUGUUCAUUUCAUAGUAAUCUUUAGGUUUUUUUAGAGAUCCUUUUUGGGAUACCCAAAACACUUUUCAAUUGUAAGUUGAAAGCUCAAAAUUUUCAAUGAAGGAAAAAAUACACUUUGCAUCAGUCUGCUAUUUGACAAAGUUGAAUAUUUGUUUUAAAAAAGAAUUUAGUGACAAACAUCUUUGUUAUUGGUAUGAAUAAUAACAAAACACUUUUCAAUUUUAAUUAUAUCUUCCAAAAGUUUAAUGAAAAGUAAUAUAUAUUAUGUUUCUUUUAAUUUUCAAUUAAAUUAUAUGCACAGGAUUCUACCUGUGGUCCAUCUCUAGCAAAAGUUAUCUCUACUACUCAUUAAAGGGAAGGGGAGAUGCGGGAGCGGGGGCGAGGUAUAGAGGACUUUGAUCUAUACCACGGCCUCCGCUCAACGCCAGGUAAAUGUAUUGGUGGGCCUUCUUCAGCAUCCUCAUUUGGUUUCUGUGUCUCGUGAAAAAUGACUUGGAUUCCAACAUCACAAGAAGGUUUGUGUAACAGCUCUCCUUACUACUGGGCAAUCCCUAUUAAGCGUGGUUUAUUUAUGCGGGAACCUGGGACCUGAGUGCAUUAUUUAUGCCAUGCUUCUAUUCCAUCGUUUACUGAUGUUUGAUCCUGUUAACCAGGUAGUACCAAUAUUUUUGUAUUGAAAUUGAAGUAUCAAUUUUAUGGUGCCUUUCUUAAGAUUAUGCACCCCAGCUCUCUCCGUAGUGUUUUUCAGUCCUCAACAUGUACUUAGCAGUGGUAACACAUCACAAUCCAAAUGUUUCUUCACAAUGGAGUAGUUCUGAAUUUUUUAGCAUGUUUGAUGGGAUGAUGAAAUGAGGAAAAACUGUCUACUAUACUGUAUACCAAGAUCCUCACCUUUUAAAUGGCUUGUAGGUCUGUCACCAAGAGCAGGAGUUCAAUUCUGCAUUUUGCUGCAUUUUAGAUGGCCUGUAAGUCCUAAUUCACCAUGCACAGGUCUAAGACCACAAAUUCAGUCAUAUGCUGCAUUUUGCAUUCUUGAUAUCUAGCACUAUCUGAAAUCAUUAUUUACCUAGCAUAGGCUGAUUUUGCUAUUCUUCUUAGGAAGGUACUAACUUUUUAAACUCAUCACUGUCGUCGUUGUCGCGCACAAGAAGUUUUCGCUCUCCUGCCCAGGCCGAGGCAUCGAGCGCGUCACUGUCUUCCUCGACCUCUACAACUAGGGAUCUACGUGAGUACCACUGCUCCCCCAUAGCACCCCACCGCAGAUGUGAUUUUCUGCUUGUGUAUUCUGUCGAUCUGUCUCUUUUUUUGGGAGAUUCGAACGCACCAUCAGUAGCUUGGACCUGAGUCAGGCGCCUUCAGUGACGCGAGAUUUCCUUCUUAAACUUUAGCAGAAGUACUUAGUUUACCGUUAUAUAUUCAAAAAUUAAUCUUCUCAAGAAAGGUAGGGGACUGAUUGUGUCUUCGAUUGAGACAGACCCACAAACAUGACAAUGGAGCUGUUUUGAACAAUCUGUGUCCAUAACCAUACCAUUUAGAGAUACACAGUAAUUCUCAUGUAGAUGAACUCAUGACCCAAGAUGCAAAUAUUUGCCAUUCAAGUGCACACAAGACCAUCAAAUAAAAACCGUGCUAAAAACACAAUAGGCAAUAGAGAAGUCCAUGUGUUUAUUUAAUUCCCCAAGCUAGAAUAUUCAUCAUCUGUAUGAAUUGAUUACUAAGAAACAUUAGGGGAAAAAGUAUACAGUUUUGAUAGAAAGUCGUUGCGCCUGCGCCGCCGGCUUCGACGAUCUACCGAACCUCCCCGAGCUUGGUCCCUAGGUUUGGAGAUGAUACUUUCUUUGUAUGCUAAUUUUCUCAAAGAUUUUUCUUCUCUUCUGUGUCUGCAACAAAGGUGUGGAGAGGUAUGAACAUGAAUCUGUAACACUAUUUUCUUUCCGGUGCUUAAUUUUUUAAUGCUUUGUACAAUUAUUGUGUGCAUUGCAAUCUUGUUAAUAUAUAUCUUUAGUCAUCAUGAUUUUCAAUGUCUGUAUUUAUUCAGCAUACAUUUUUUGUUACGUCUGUGUAAAAACAAUGAAGGAUCAUAUGUACUUUCUAUUUCUUUCUACAGGAUCAAGCUUACUUCCCAUAUCUAACAUUGUUCUCCAUCAACUGGAAGGGAAAUCCAACAAAGGUCAUUUUUAUGUUAUUGCAGACCAUUCCAUUGAAAUAUAUAAAUCCAGCUUUCUUGUUUAUUUAUAGCAUAUUUACCAUAUUUAUGUGAAUGGUGGGGGAGGCCCCUACAUGUAUUUCUAGCAAUCAAGCAGUUUCCUAAUUUUGCAUCUAUGUUUUUUUAUCAUUUUUAACUAAUUUUAUUCCCAUUUAUAUCUUGCUUAUACAACAUCCAAUUUUCUUUUCUAGAACUAGAAUAGAUUGAUGUGAAGGGGAAAUAAUAGAAGGAGAAGCUUGACCUGUAUAUUCAGGGUAAUUACAACUUUUGUUGUUUUCCCUGAUGAGAAUAAUCUUAUUAUUUUUCCCUGAUGAGAAUAUGCUUAUUAUUUUUGGUUAAAAGGGAGUACCAUUGAAGAUUUGUCCUCAUGUUAAAUAUAUCCCCUUUCUGUUUAUUGAGUCUAAUUUGUUAUACUAUACAAUCAUAAGUCAUUUGAACUAAUAAUUCAAAGGGAACUCUCAAGGAGGAUGUUUUCCUGUAGAGGUGUAGAUGCUUCUACUGGCCAUGUCGGGGUAAGUACUAUUGAACUUUUAGCUUAAGUGCCUCCAUGUGUUUAAAUCAUCUUUGCCUUAAUCCCUGUUAAGAGUAAUAUCUGUUCUAUUUGAAACUGAGAGUCACUACCGGUGAACCAUCUAUGUAUGUUAUCCUACAUUCUCUAUGAUAUUUUUGGUGAUUUUCCUCAGUAGCUCAUGGUGCGGUUUGUUUACUACUGCAUAAUCAUAGUCGGAUGAACUUUUGGACAAUAUGAGUCAUACUACUCUUACUCUGUCUGGUUUGUACUGCGUUCUGACAUUGUAUCGAUGUCCUUGAUCAAAAGCUCAAUAUAGUCCCAUUGAGCUGACAUGCCCAUAUAUUUUCCAUAUACUCCAAACAUGUGGUCGUUUUGGUGCUUCAUUAUUUCUACCCCAUACCGCCAGUUUAAGGUUCCUCCCAAAUGUUUUUUAAGGGAACCAGUCUCUAGAAUAAAUAGUGUGUUUCUGGGUGGCCAAUAAAAAGCACAAGUUCUCUAAUACACUCUCCAUUCUUCCAUGUUGUUUGGUAUAAUUAACAAGUCUCCUCAGCUGUGUUAUGGUCGAUAUGGAAAUACAUAUAAGGAGCUUUUGUCAAUGAUUGUAGAUUUGGAAGUGCUAUUUUGUUUAUUUUCUACACAACUUUAUUUGGUGGUCUGCAGCUUUAUAUGGCUACAUUAGGCAAUUGUUUUGAAAUAGAUGAAUGGGACCCAAUAGAGUUCUCCAUCAGGGCAAAACAUUUUGGCCAGUAAGGGAAACCACCAUAUGCCUACAGUGUUGUAAGGAUGUACACACUUGUCUAUGAUUCAUGCUUACCAUUUAGAAAUACAUAUGUUUUUAGAAGGAAGCAUCCAAAUUCAUGUCUGUUUUGGAUAUAUUCUUGCUGCAUGAUAUGCAAGUUUGAUGCAUGCUUUCUCUGUGUUUUUGUUUCAGCAUAUCUGACACACCUCUUCCAAGGGCAGCUCGAUGGAACCGAUUGAAUGCAAGAUGUAUUGUUGGUAGCAUGCAUCAACACAACUAGAAUUUCACUAGAUCUUGUAUAAGUAGGUUCUAAUUUUUUGGCCGUUCGCAUAAUAAUUUCUGAAAAAAACAUGACAUAAUUCUAUCAGAACAUUUACGAUGUUCUUUUAUUGUUGAAUAAAACACUGAAUGCUAA